CUCGUAGAAAAGAAAAAAAUGAGGAAAUCAGGAUGGUAUGGGGGCGAAGGCCGAGAGGAUUUUAACUGUUCCCUUCAAGAUGUCUUUGAAAUUGAGAUCGAAAGAUAAAUGUAGUGGUGUGGUAGUCCCCGACCGAUCCCAAUUACAAUGUCCCUUGCAAGAUUUUCCUAAUAAAGAUUCUCAGGAUUACAGAUCCUCUAGCAAGGAGACCACACAGAUAGAGAUGACCAGAGCAGAGGACAUACAGCCCCCCCCCCCCCCCAAAAAAAAAAAAAUCACAGUGGACUGGAAGUAAAUUUUACAUGAAAAAUACAAAGUAGGAAAAAAUAACAGAAAGAAAAGAGGAUCCAGUAAAAGUUGUCACUGGUGCAAGAUGGACAUAGAGAGGGUUUUCUAAUGAUCAUUACUAAAAUCCACAGCAAAUCAAUACUGCAAGGCUGAGCUAGUUUUCAAAUUUACACAAAAGGACAUAAAGAAAUGUGAAUUCGAGGAAACCAAGCUUAAAUCAAAUGAGAGAAUAUGAAGGAACAAAUUUAAGCAAAUUUUUUUUUAAGCAGGGCAUCUGUUUUCCUUAGAGAAUAUGUGUAUUCUAAAUUGAUUUCUUGUAUUUUCAAAAAAUGUCACUGUUUAAGUGAAGCAUACAUUCCAAUUUAUGUCUU